UAGGGAAUCUUCGGCAAUGGACGAAAGUCUGACCGAGCAACGCCGCGUGAGUGAAGAAGGUUUUCGGAUCGUAAAACUCUGUUGUUAGAGAAGAACAAGGACGUUAGUAACUGAACGUCCCCUGACGGUAUCUAACCAGAAAGCCACGGCUAACUACGUGCCAGCAGCCGCGGUAAUACGUAGGUGGCAAGAGUUGUCCGGAUUUAUUGGGCGUAAAGCGAGCGCAGGCGGUUUCUUAAGUCUGAUGUGAAAGCCCCCGGCUCAACCGGGGAGGGUCAUUGGAAACUGGGAGUCUUGCGUGCAGAAGAGGAGAGUGGAAUUCCAUGUGUAGCGGUGAAAUGCGUAGAUAUAUGGAGGAACACCAGUGGCGAAGGCGGCUCUCUGGUCUGUAACUGACGCUGAGGCUCGAAAGCGUGGGGAGCAAACAGG
rnacentral:rRNA from 1 species